UACAGAGGUGGCAAGCGUUGUUCGGAAUUACUGGGCGUAAAGCGCACGCAGGUGGCUGAGUCAGUCGAUUGUGAAAGCCCUGGGCUUAACCUGGGAAUUGCAGUCGAUACUACUUAGCUAGAGUAUGGGAGAGGGCAGUGGAAUUCCCGGUGUAGCGGUGAAAUGCGUAGAUAUCGGGAGGAACAUCAGUGGCGAAGGCGGCUGCCUGGCCCAAUACUGACACUCAGGUGCGACAGCGUGGGGAGCAAACAGG
rnacentral:rRNA from 1 species